CACGUAGGGUGCGAGCGUUGUCCGGAUUUAUUGGGCGUAAAGAGCUCGUAGGCGGCUUGUUGCGUCGACCGUGAAAACUCACCGCUUAACGGUGGGUCUGCAUUCGAUACGGGCUAGCUAGAGUGUGGUAGGGGAGAUCGGAAUUCCUGGUGUAGCGGUGAAAUGCGCAGAUAUCAGGAGGAACACCGAUGGCGAAGGCAGGUCUCUGGGCAUUAACUGACGCUGAGGAGCGAAAGCAUGGGGAGCGAACAGG
rnacentral:rRNA from 1 species